AACGAACGCUGGCGGCAUGCCUAACACAUGCAAGUCGAACGAGACCUUCGGGUCUAGUGGCGCACGGGUGCGUAACGCGUGGGAAUCUGCCCUUGGGUUCGGAAUAACAGUUGGAAACGACUGCUAAUACCGGAUGAUGACGUAAGUCCAAAGAUUUAUCGCCCAAGGAUGAGCCGGCGUAGGAUUAGCUAGUUGGUGAGGUAAAGGCUCACCAAGGCGACGAUCCUUAGCUGGUCUGAGAGGAUGAUCAGCCACACUGGGACUGAGACACGGCCCAGACUCCUACGGGAGGCAGCAGUGGGGAAUAUUGGACAAUGGGCGAAAGCCUGAUCCAGCAAUGCCGCGUGAGUGAUGAAGGCCUUAGGGUUGUAAAGCUCUUUUACCCGGGAUGAUAAUGACAGUACCGGGAGAAUAAGCUCCGGCUAACUCCGUG
rnacentral:rRNA from 1 species